AUAUAUUUAUGUUUAUUUAUUUAAUUUUAAAUCAAUGGUAUUAGGGAUAUUUUACUCUUUAAUGAAUGUCAUUUUUGUGACUUUCUCCUUCUAGUACUAUUUUUGAGACAUAAACUUCAAAAGGUGCUAUUAUUGAGAAUUGCCCAAUAUAAUAAGUAUCAAAAAGUUUUUAAACCGAGUUAUUAUUAUGUUUUUUUAAUUAGUUUGAUUUUUCUGAGAUGAAAAGAUGUUUAAACUUUGAAAACUAUUUAAAAAUCGUAAAGGAGUUCGAUAGAUAACUCGGUUUACCUCCUAAGCUUAUUUGAAUCUCUAGCUAGCUAUAACUUUGAAGCUAUAUUUUAGCUAUACAUAAUUGGACUCCUACUAUGCAUUGAACCGUAAUUGAAGACUACAACAAUAUAAAAUUAAUUACAUUGAUCUUGUAGAGCGAGAUGAGUUCAAACAAUAAGCAAUUUUUGUGGGUUGCAUUGUGCAUGUAAUUGUAAACUAGUUGUUUAUAGUUUUUGCCAAAUAAAUACUAAAUAUUGCAUGAAAUCGCUGAAUGUUUUCAUAUCCCAUGCGGGUUAAAAAUUAGUGUAAAUAAUCUAUUAAUCAUAUGAAAUCUAGACAUAAUAUCAAGUUGUAAUAUUAUGUCUAGAAUCCACUUUACAUUGUCUAUACUAGUAAGAGACAUGGUGUGCAUAUAAUAUAAUUGCUUCUUCUUUUGUUGUCUUUUUGCUCUUUUUUGUCCGGAAAAUAAAAUGUUUCCGUAUGUUCUCCUAACCUGGUUCGUUGUAUGUAUACAUAAUGUUUUCUGGGUCCAAAAGCUUUUUUCCUUUAAUAAAUUUUCUCUACAACUUUGGGAUAUAAUAUAAUAUAUACUAGAAAAAAUAUCAAGCAAAAAAAAGUUUGGGACAUCAGCUUAUAUGCUUCAGAUUACAAGGAUCCUAGACUCCAGAGUCGGAACAGAUCCUCAGAUUUCCGGUACCUAUUCAAAAUGAAAAUAUUUAAAAUUAUUUGAUAUGUUUUUACAAAUUUUACAAGUAUUUUUGUUUUAAAAAGUCAUAAUUUUAUAGUAUAAAAUUCAUUCACAUCUAUCCUAACAAGAUAAAAUUCACAUAAUAUUUUACAAUUAUUUUUCUUAAACUAAAUUUUAUAUUCACUUUGUUAUUUUACAUUUCAAAAUUUGUGUCAUUAUAUCAUAAAUACACAUAUUUAUAAUCUACAUAUGAUUUGGGGGGGGGGAGAGAAAAACUUGAUUUUAAAUACAAAACUAUACCAAAACUUGAAUCAAAUGCAAAACUAAUCUAAAAGCUUUGUGAAAUUACAGUCAACUCCUUGUGACUAAAAAAACAGAACUUAUUUUUACGAAUAUAGCCCUAAAAAGUCAUCUGAGUCUUCUGAGAUACUGUAAGUCGUCUGAUGUAGUUGAUUUUAAAAAUAAUUUUUAAUUUUUAAAAACAAAUAUUUUGACAAGUGAAAAAUUAAAAUUAUGUAAUUAUAAACAGUUUUAAGUAAUAUAAAUUAAGAUAUAAUAAAAUUGAAUAGUUUUCAACAUAGAUGAGUGAAAGUAGUUAAUCAUGAUAUUCUUUGGCUUAUGGUUUGACAACAUAUGUUGUAAUAUUGUAUGUAUUCUUAGGGUUAGAUUUUAGAAAGCUUAAAUGUUUUUUUGAAAAAUUAAAAUUUUACCUAUAUGUGUUCAUUUAUGUGUAUAGUAAACAAUUUAUAAGUUUAAUUUAAUUUUUAUGAAGAGUUUAGUUAGUUAAUUUAGUUUAGGGGUUAUGUUUAGGGUCUUUACGACUAACAUAUAAGUCGUCUGGCGAUUAGAAGACUUCUCUGAAAGUCUUCUAACUCCCACUAAAAAUAUUUUAGUUUUCCGCUAAAAAUAUUGAAGUCUUUUGGGCGACUUACAAGUUAUUCGUCUCCAUAUAUAAAGAAAAAUUUACACAUUCUCUCUCCUCCUCUCAAAUGACUGCAACAAAACUGGUAUAUUCCUCAUUCUAAAACUCUUCAACCUCUCUCUAAUCUUUUUAACUUCUAAACACCAAACUUUAUAUCAAUUUAUUGUUUUUGUCUCAUGUCUUUCUCACUAGUUUAUCUUGUUUUGCAGGUUUUUCAUCACAUGGUUCUCAUCUUCCACUCAUUUAAAGGUAGAUCUAUUAGUUUUAGAUAUGUAUUUUUGUGUGUUCUAUAAAGGUAGAUCUAUAUCUUAUAUUCCACUCUUUUUCUCUGUUUUUAAGCCAUUUGAACGUUUUUGGAUAUGCAAGUUUUUCAGAUAUGAAUUUGGAUAUGCAGGUUUUUCAGAUCUGGAAGACUUCUGGGACGACUUACCUGUUAGUCGUCUAAAAUAUAAUGCGCUAGAAGACUUCAAGGACGACUUACCUGGAAGUCUUCUGACGAAGUCUUCUCACAUGUCUCCCUUUCAUAACAUAUUUGAGCGUUUUGGUUUUUAACUAAAUGGUUCUCAUCUUCCACUUGGAUAUGUACUUUAUGUGUUCUAUAAAAGUAUAUCUAUAUAAUCUUCCACUCAUUUUCUCUGUUUUUAAGUCAUUUGAAUAUUUUUUGAUAUGCAGGUUUUUCAAAUCUAGAACAGACUUAAGAUUUAUGGGAAGUCUUCUAAAAUAUAAUGCGUUAGAAGACUAUCUGAAAGUCUUCUAGUGCAUUAUAUUUUAGAAGACUUUCGAGAAGACUUCCCAUAAGUCUUCCAAAGUCUUCUAAAAUAUAAUGUGCUACUUCUAACGGAGUCUUCUUCCAUAUCAAGUGGAGUCCAAGCUUAUCUUUGUAAAGGAUUGAUCUAUAAUAGUUUUGUUUCUGGUCUGUUUUGUGAUUUGCAUGUGUACUCCUUUAGUUGUGAUUUGUUUUGUAAAGUUGAAGAGAUAUUAAUAAAAAAUUUGGUAAAUAUGUUCAUAUUCCACAAUAUUCCACUCAUAGCAAAACACAUGACUGAUUCAUAUAACAAUAAUGAUAUUUAAGUCAUUGAUACAACAUAUUAAGAAUCAUUUAACCAUUCUACUCUCUCAUAGCAAAAAAUAUCAUUGAUGCAUAUAACAAUAAUGAUAAGUCAUUGAUACAAAAUUUUAAGAAACUAAGUAUUUUACCCACUCAUAGCAAUAAUCAUCAUUGGUGCACACGUAAGAGAUAGAAACAAAAUUAGAAAGGAUUGAGACUCUGCAGAUAUGCUUUCCGGACUUCAAGAUCACCUAUGUUCCACGAGCGCAAAAUCAGAUUUCACACUCUCUAGCUAGGACUGCCAGGUCUUUUCAUAGGGAACUUUAUUUUAUUGUUUGUUCUAUUCCGGUUUGGUUACCCAGACCACCUCAAGUUUGAGUAAUAGAAAAGCCGUUUGUUGUAAAAAAAACUAUGGAAACAAACAAUAGUAACUAGUCAAAACAUAUCACAAUUUUUACAAGUUUGUGUUGAAUAACUUAGUCAAAUUUAGUAAAACUAAGGCAGAAAAUAUGAGUUUUACAUAUCGUGAAGUUACUUAACUCUUAAAAAUACAAGUUUUUCAAAAACUAUAGUAGACGACUUCCACGGAAGUCUUCUCAGAUCAGCUAGAAACUUUAAUAAAAAUGAAUGUUGGUAACCUCAUAAAUAUCACGAAUUAAGUUAUAAAUUUUAUUCAGUAGCUAAAAUAUUGAUUAAUAGACAUGAAUUAACAAGAAAAUGUUAAAAAUUAUUUAUAGUUUUAGAGAGGGUGAACGUGUUAUUUCCCCAUGCGAACUAUCAUAUAGCAUCAAAUGUCCACCGAACUAUUACCUCAUGCUAUAUGCCCAUGAAUUAAACAUUGCAAACGUAUUUCUCCCCGAAUUAAAAGUUAAAAUCUUAUUUCUCCCCAAACCGAUAAUUCAAAAUUAAUUAUACAUGAACUAUGGGUUUAACCGGUUAACAAUUUACCAAAGAAUAUUAACCAGUUAAAACAAACAUAAAUAUAAUUUUAUGGUUUGUGAUUUGUGAUAGCACGACCCAGAUCUGUGAGGGCUGGAUUGUGGUUUGUGCCCUCUGGUCGUGCCUUGUUCUUCUGUCGUUGGAGGCAUGCCGUAUGAAGCUUUCUUUCUUUUAGCGGCGUUAUGGCUAUGAAUAUCCGGUGAGAAAUAGAGACGUAGGUGCAGAUUUCAGUUUCAGAUUCAAAUUCACCGGGGUCUUCUCUCACUUUGCAGCCUGUGUUGAGGAUGCAUGUGGAGUGUUUGAGUCAGUUUUAUCCGGUGGAGUGGAAGUGAGAAGGUUGUGGGGUUAGAUCGUGAUCUUUCUAAAUCCCUUCUCUGAACCGAAGAAGCUCUUAUGUUUCGUAAGCCGUAACUUGUCUUACGCUUUUCUCCUUCUUCUCUUGUCUUUCGACCUGUUGCUUUCUCGUGUUAUAUUGUCGGUGGGGAUGAUGGAGCGAUAGGUGUCUUGCUUAUCCCUCUGUGUUUUAUUUAGGUCAAGUUUCUUAUACUUGCAUGUUUCGGUUCAGUUUUACAUAUGACUGGCAGGCGGUGGUCUUAGUUGACGUGGCAGCUUCUCUAGCAGGUUUAACUCUGGCAUUUUUUUUAAUUUUUUUUUCUAUCUAAUUUUUUCGAUUUAGGUUUGUCGAUUUAAAGUCUAAACUAGAUUUUAAAGUUUGAAAUUUUACGUCUAUAUUAAUCUAACUAUAUAUUUGUGGUUUGGUAAUUAUGUUUUAAAUUUAUAAAAUAAUAUAUUUAAACAUUUUCAUAACAAAUAUCAAUUUCAUAGUAAGUAUUAUUAUAAUUUUAAUUCUUAGUAAUUUAUGAUCCUUUUUAUCACACUUACACAUGUCUUCUAACAAUAUAUCUCAAUAAAAAAUAAUAUUUUUUUGACAAAAUUUAAUAAGGCACAUUAAAAAGAUAAUUAAAAACAAAGUUAUAUAUAAAAUAGUAGAAAUAAGAAGCCAUUAUAUAUCUACAUGUAUUUAUAUAUUAGAAAU